UUAUUUAAUAAUUUCCCCUCCUCCCCUUUUGCGCUCGCUCAGCGACAGACCUGGGUCCUUUCACGCUUUGUCCUCCCUCUUUCUUUCGUUCCUGCUCGCGCUCUCUCUCUCUCCCUUUUUUAUCUUCCUUCCUUUUCCUACUCCUUGUUUCUUUCUCUCUCUGGCUUUUGUGCAGGGGGCCGUGACGAAUGGCUCAGAAAAGAGGGUGCUGUGAGAAACUGGAGCUGCGCUGUCGGAGUGGGUGCUCUUUCAUCAUCUGCCUGCCUCCCUCCAGCUUCCCCAUGGUUCCUCCAAGGCUCCUUUGUGGCCAUAAUCAAAGCCUGGCAGAGAUGAGGCACGGUGCACAGGAGGAUGGCUCGGCACACACUUCGAGCGCCUCCUGGACUGACCAGACAACCUGCAGGGUCUGUACCAAGGCAUCUCCUCGCUCAGGAGUGGCAGAGCUGGGAGGUACGGGAACCUCCCCAAAAGGGAGGGAGUCUGCACGCCCGUGGGUUAUCGCCUGCAUCAGGGCUCGGUGACGGCGCUUCCCCAGAACACAUGUUCCCUCGUAAACCCGGGAUCCGCUUAUCUCAAAGGGCACAUCCGACAAUUAGCUUAUCUGCUGUGAAAGUGAGGAACAGCUUUAGUUAUCUGCCCGGCUUCCGCAAGCCAAAAAAAAAAAAAAAAAAAGGAGAAAGAGCCCCUGGAAGGACGAGGCGCAUACACAGCAUCCUAAAAAUAAAGUGAGUGCGCUG
rnacentral:lncRNA from 7 species